AUUUUGGUUACUCAGAGAAGCCAAGUGAGGUGUCUGAGUUUAACGGAGAUAAUUGGGAAAUAAUUGGACUAGAAAUGGAUGGUAAUGAAUUGCAUGUAAAAAGAAGAAUUCAAGAUGUAUCGAAGAUGCAAUAAAGUACCACAAAAAGAU